UACGAAGGGGGCUAGCGUUGUUCGGAAUUACUGGGCGUAAAGCGCACGUAGGCGGAUUGCUAAGUCAGGGGUGAAAUCCUGGAGCUCAACUCCAGAACUGCCUUUGAUACUGGCGAUCUUGAGUCCGGGAGAGGUGAGUGGAACUGCGAGUGUAGAGGUGAAAUUCGUAGAUAUUCGCAAGAACACCAGUGGCGAAGGCGGCUCACUGGCCCGGUACUGACGCUGAGGCGCGAAAGCGUG
rnacentral:rRNA from 1 species